rnacentral:rRNA from 1 species
CCUACGGGUGGCUGCAGUGGGGAAUAUUGGACAAUGGGCGAAAGCCUGAUCCAGCCAUGCCGCGUGUGUGAAGAAGGCCUUCGGGUUGUAAAGCACUUUCAGUGGGGAAGAAAGCCUUGGGGCUAAUACCCUCGAGGAAGGACAUCACCCACAGAAGAAGCACCGGCUAACUCCGUGCCAGCAGCCGCGGUAAUACGGAGGGUGCGAGCGUUAAUCGGAAUUACUGGGCGUAAAGCGCGCGUAGGCGGUCUGAUAAGCCGGUUGUGAAAGCCCCGGGCUCAACCUGGGAACGGCAUCCGGAACUGUCAGGAUAGAGUGCAGGAGAGGAAGGUAGAAUUCCCGGUGUAGCGGUGAAAUGCGUAGAGAUCGGGAGGAAUACCAGUGGCGAAGGCGGCCUUCUGGACUGACACUGACGCUGAGGUGCGAAAGCGUGGGUAGCAAACAGGAUUAGAUACCCCGGUAGUC